GAUGAACGCUAGCGGCAGGCCUAACACAUGCAAGUCGAGGGGCAGCACAGAAACAGCAAUGUUUUGGUGGCGACCGGCGGACGGGUGCGUAACGCGUAUGCAACCUACCUUUAACAGGGGGAUAACGGAGAGAAAUUUCCACUAAUACCCCAUAACAUCGAUCAAGGCAUCUUGAUUGGUUGAAAACUCCGGUGGUUAAAGAUGGGCAUGCGUUGUAUUAGGUAGUUGGUGAGGUAAAGGCUCACCAAGCCUACGAUACAUAGGGGGACUGAGAGGUUAGCCCCCCCCACUGGUACUGAGAUACGGCCCAGACUCCUACGGGAGGCAGCAGCUAAGAAUAUUCCGCAAUGGACGAAAGUCUGACGGAGCGACGCCGCGUGGAUGACGAAGGCCGAAAGGUUGUAAAAUCCUUUUGUUGGGGAAGAAUAAGGCUGGGAGGGAAUGCCCGGCUGAUGACAUGAACCGACGAAUAAGUCCCGGCUAACUACGUGCCAGCCGCCGCUGUAA
rnacentral:rRNA from 1 species